CCGCAAGCCUCUCUUUAUUCCCAGCUACUGAAUUCAUCGUGGCUUUUGCAGAGGAGAGCGUCUAAGUGUCUCGCCAACGCUACAUCCAAAAGUCACGCGUUCUCUUUUCGCGGUCACAGCCAGAUCACUGGCAUCGCCCUCAGCCAAGUCAGUCGGUUCUCCUCCGCGAGGAGACAGAGGGGCCGAUCGGGCGCACAGCGGCCGCGGGAAGGUGGGCGAGCCCGCGCCGCGCCGCGCCCGCACGCGCCCUCCGCCCGCGCAGCCGGCGGUGGGAACUUGCCUCCUUCACCGCGCUCGCUGAGUUCAAAGAAAUUCUCCCAAAAUAUAAAGAUCCAGACUCGGGGAGGAGCCUCGGCGUGUCGCCAAGCCAAUAUGCGCCGGCCCGUUUCGCCUGACAGUUGCGCGAGGGCAGGGAGUGGGGCGGCCCUGCGUGGCCCGGAGCCGUCCACGGUCAGGGCGCGCGUGUGCGCCUGGGCGCAGCGCAGAACCUCGGGAGCCGCGGCCGCGCCUCCUUGGAGCCCGCCGCCCGCCUGCUGCCGCCGCGCCGCCCGGGAUCCAUUUUAUGGCGCGGCGCUCCUGCCUGACAUUGCGAGGCCGCGCUCCCGGGCGGGGGUGGGGUCGUAAAUCUCGCUCCCGGCGAGGAAGUUCCUGGCGAGUGGCCCGCGGCCGGGGCUCUAAGGCCACGCCGCUGCGGGGGGACGGGAACGCUGCGCCCCAGCUCCCCCGCCCCCAAGUUCUUUUCUCUUCCUGGCGAGGCUUGCAGGUCUGCUUUUGAAACGCCGUGUAAAACGGAUUGAGUCACAAGUCCACAAACACGCUGGGUCCUCCCCCCGCCCUUUGUUCUCCCAGACCUGCCCUGCAAACCUUUUCUGGAACGGUCCUCCCCACCCGGGGCCGCCCGGGGGCCUCCCUCCCGGAGCGCAGCUGGAGGACCCGCGGGCCCUUGCCCCCGCCCCCAGCCCGCCCGCCUGCCUGCCCCGCCGGAGCCCCAACCCGCGGGGCGCUAAACCCUCAGGGCUGGACAGGUGAGCCCCAGCACCCAGCUGCCGGGCGGGGGAAACUGAGGAUUCGCCGCGCCGCACACGGGCAGCGCGGACGGCGCGGGCCGGAGAGGGGGUGUGGCACGGGCUGGCCUCGGCCUCUGCGGGCCAGAGCUCAGUCCCCUCGCCAGCUUCCGCGCUCGUCUCCUCGCGCCGGGGACCCAUAGGACCUGCAGGGCACCCACACGCCGCCCCUCCGCGGUCCCCGCCUCCGCCCCCGGCGCGGCGCCCGGGAGUGCAGGAAGCCGGCACAAGCCAGGCUCCACACGUGGCUGCUCUGGGGUGUCAUUUUUCAUUUCCCGGGAGGACAUUCCUUCUGGUGUGCCGGCAGGUCUAUUUUGUUGUGACCUUUAAUUAACACCCGGCGAGACGCCUCCUGCAGGACCAGCCCCGCGCGGGGGUCACGUGAGGUGUAAUGGCAUCUCCGCGCCCCCAGAGACCCGCGGGGCUGGGCGAGGGCGCAGAGGACAUUUAGGGCUCUCCAGCCAUCAGCUCCCCGCGAGAGAAGGAUGAAGCAGGAAGUGGCAGGAAGACAACAAUUCGGGGUGCUGGAACCCUGGGGAAAUCCUGCCCGUGCCUCCCCGGCGCGGCCGUCCCUCCAUCCCCGCCCCCGCGCAGCCCUGGAGUGGGACUCUCACGGCCACCAAGGCGAGGGAAGAAGGUCAAAAAUAAAGGUGUGGAGCACA